rnacentral:rRNA from 1 species
UAGGGAAUCUUCGGCAAUGGACGAAAGUCUGACCGAGCAACGCCGCGUGAGUGAAGAAGGUUUUCGGAUCGUAAAACUCUGUUGUUAGAGAAGAACAAGGACGUUAGUAACUGAACGUCCCCUGACGGUAUCUAACCAGAAAGCCACGGCUAACUACGUGCCAGCAGCCGCGGUAAUACGUAUGUGGCAAGCGUUGUCCGGAUUUUGUGGGCGUAAAGCGAGCGCAGGCGGUUUCUUAAGUCUGAUGUGAAAGCCCCCGGCUCAACCGGGGAGGGUCAUUGGAAACUGGGAGACUUGAGUGCAGAAGAGGAGAGUGGAAUUCCAUGUGUGGCGGUGAAAUGCGUAGAUAUAUGGAGGAACACCAGUGGCGAAGGCGGCUCUCUGGUCUGUAACUGACGCUGAGGCUCGAAAGCGUGGGGAGCAAACAGG